rnacentral:rRNA from 1 species
AUUGAACGCUGGCGGCAUGCCUUACACAUGCAAGUCGAACGGUAACAGCACUUCGGUGGCUGACGAGUGGCGGACGGGUGAGUAAUACAUCGGAACGUGCCCGAUCGUGGGGGAUAACUACUCGAAAGAGUGGCUAAUACCGCAUACGAUCUACGGAUGAAAGCGGGGGAUCGCAAGACCUCGCGCGGACGGAGCGGCCGAUGGCAGAUUAGGUAGUUGGUGGGAUAAAAGCUUACCAAGCCGACGAUCUGUAGCUGGUCUGAGAGGACGACCAGCCACACUGGGACUGAGACACGGCCCAGACUCCUACGGGAGGCAGCAGUGGGGAAUUUUGGACAAUGGGGGAAACCCUGAUCCAGCCAUGCCGCGUGCAGGAUGAAGGCCUUCGGUUGUAAACUGCUUUGUUACGGACGAAAGACUCUUUCUAAUACAGAGGUCCAUGACGGUACCGUAAGAAUAAGCACCGGCUAACUACGUGCCAGCAGCCGCGGUAAACGU